rnacentral:rRNA from 1 species
GAUGAACGCUAGCUACAGGCUUAACACAUGCAAGUCGAGGGGAAACGAUAUUGGAAGCUUGCUUCCGAUAGGCGUCGACCGGCGCACGGGGGAGUAACGCGUAUCCAACCUGCCCAUCACUUGGGGAUAACCUUGCGAAAGUAAGACUAAUACCCAAUGAUAUCUCAAGAAGACAUCUGAAUGAGAUUAAAGAUUUAUCGGUGAUGGAUGGGGAUGCGUCUGAUUGGCUUGUUGGCGGGGUAACGGCCCAACAAGGCGACGAUCAGUAGGGGUUCUGAGAGGAAGGUCCCCCACAUUGGAACUGAGACACGGUCCAAACUCCUACGGGAGGCAGCAGUGAGGAAUAUUGGUCAAUGGGCGAGAGCCUGAACCAGCCAAGUAGCGUGCAGGAUGACGGCCCUAUGGGUUGUAAACUGCUUUUAUAAGGGAAUAAAGUGAGCCUCGUGAGGCUUUUUGCAUGUACCUUAUGAAUAAGGACCGGCUAAUUCCGUGCCAGCAGCCGCCGUAA